GUCGUAGACCCGAAACCAGGUGAUCUACCCAUGUCCAGGGUGAAGUUCAGGUAACACUGAAUGGAGGCCCGAACCCACGCACGUUGAAAAGUGCGGGGAUGAGGUGUGGGUAGGGGUGAAAUGCCAAUCGAACCUGGAGAUAGCUGGUUCUCUCCGAAAUAGCUUUAGGGCUAGCCUCAAGGUAAGAGUCUCGGAGGUAGAGCACUGAUUGGACUAGGGGCCCCUACC
rnacentral:rRNA from 1 species